UACGUAGGGGUGCAAGCGUUUGUCCGGAAUUAUUGGGCGUAAAGAGCUCGUAGGCGGCUUGUCGCGUCGGCUGUGAAAUCCCGAGGCUCAACCUCGGGUCUGCAGUCGAUACGGGCAAACUAGAGUAUUGCAGGGGAGACUGGAAUUCCUGGUGUAGCGGUGAAAUGCGCAGAUAUCAGGAGGAACACCGGUGGCGAAGGCGGGUCUCUGGGCAAUAACUGACGCUGAGGAGCGAAAGCGUGGGGAGCGAACAGG
rnacentral:rRNA from 1 species